GACAGAGGGUGCGAGCGUUGUUCGGAAUUAUUGGGCGUAAAGGGCGCGUAGGUUGCAUUGUAAGUCAAGGAUGAAAUAACAGAGCUCAACUUUGUUGCUGUUCUUGAUACUGCAUUGCUAGAGAAUGGAAGGGGUAAACGGAAUUUCUAGUGGAGAGGUCAAAUUCGUAGAUAUUAGAAGGAACACCAAAGGCGAAGGCAGUUUACUGGUACAUUUCUGACGCUGAGGCGCGAAAGCGUGGGGAGCAAACAGG
rnacentral:rRNA from 1 species